rnacentral:rRNA from 1 species
CUACGGGGGGCUGCAGUGGGGAAUAUUGCACAAUGGGCGCAAGCCUGAUGCAGCAACGCCGCGUGAGUGAAGAAGGUCUUCGGAUCGUAAAACUCUGUCCUAUGGGAAGAAAAAAAUGACGGUACCAUGGGAGGAAGCCCCGGCUAACUACGUGCCAGCAGCCGCGGUAAUACGUAGGGGGCAAGCGUUAUCCGGAAUCACUGGGCGUAAAGGGUGCGUAGGCGGCUUGUCAAGCCAGAGGUGAAAGGCAUUGGCUCAACCAAUGUAAGCCUUUGGAACUGACGAGCUUGAGUACAGGAGAGGUAAGUGGAAUUCCUAGUGUAGAGGUGAAAUUCGUAGAUAUUAGGAGGAACACCAGUGGCGAAGGCGACUUACUGGACUGUAACUGACGCUGAGGCACGAAAGCGUGGGUAGCGAACAGGAUUAGAUACCCCAGUAGUC